rnacentral:rRNA from 1 species
AACGAACGCUGGCGGCAGGCUUAACACAUGCAAGUCGAGCGCCCCGCAAGGGGAGCGGCAGACGGGUGAGUAACGCGUGGGAAUCUACCCAUCUCUACGGAGUAACGCAUGGAAACGUGUGCUAAUACCGUAUACGUCCUUCGGGAGAAAGAUUUAUCGGAGAUGGAUGAGCCCGCGUUGGAUUAGCUAGUUAGUGGGGUAAAGGCCUACCAAGGCGACGAUCCAUAGCUGGUCUGAGAGGAUGAUCAGCCACACUGGGACUGAGACACGGCCCAGACUCCUACGGGAGGCAGCAGUGGGGAAUAUUGGACAAUGGGCGCAAGCCUGAUCCAGCCAUGCCGCGUGAGUGAUGAAGGCCCUAGGGUUGUAAAGCUCUUUCACCGGUGAAGAUAACGACGGUAACCGGAGAAGAAGCCCCGGCUAACUUCGUGCCAGCAGCCGCCGUAAUAC